AACGAACGCUGGCGGCAUGCCUAACACAUGCAAGUCGAACGAGACCUUCGGGUCUAGUGGCGCACGGGUGCGUAACGCGUGGGAACCUGCCCUUAGGUUCGGAAUAACUCCCCGAAAGGGGUGCUAAUACCGGAUAAUGUCUUCGGACCAAAGAUUUAUCGCCUUUGGAUGGGCCCGCGUUGGAUUGGCUAGUUGGUAGGGUAAAAGCCUACCAAGGCGACGAUCCAUAGCUGGUCUGAGAGGAUGAUCAGCCACACUGGGAGUGAGACACGGCCCAGACUCCUACGGGAGGAAGCAGUGGGGAAUAUUGGACAAUGGGCGAAAGCCUGAUCCAGCAAGGACGCGUGAGUGAUGAAGGCCGUAGGGUUGUAAAGCUCUCUUACCCGGGAUGAUAAUGACAGUACCGGGAGAAUAAGCUCCGGCUAACUCCGUG
rnacentral:rRNA from 1 species